AUGAAAGAGACGCGGCGUACGGCUCAGUAGCAUGUGGCUAACCUAACCUAAGGACAGAGACAACCCCGGGAAACUGGGGGUAAUCCCUGAUAGGCGUGGACUCCUGGAAUGGAUUCACACCCAAAGAGCAUUUGAUUCAUGCUUCAGAUGUUGCCUUAGGAUGGGGCCGCAACCGAUCAGGUUGUUGGCGAGGUAACGGCUCACCAAGCCUAUAACCGGUACGGGCCGCGGGAGCGGUAGCCCGGAGAUGGACACUGAGACAAGGGUCCAGGCCCUACGGGGCGCAGCAGUCGCGAAAACUUCACAAUGCGCGAAAGCGUGAUGGGGCUAUCCCGAGUGCUAUCCGCUGAGGAUGGCUUUUCUCCAGUGUAAGGAGCUGGAGGAAUAAGGAGAGGGCAAGCCUGGUGUCAGCCGCCGCGGUAAUACCAGCUCUCCGAGUGGUAGGGAUGUUUAUUGGGCUUAAAGCGUCCGUAGCCGGCUCAUAAAGUCCUCCGUAUAAUCCAACGAUUUAACCGCUGGACUGCAGGGGAUACUCUUGGGC
rnacentral:rRNA from 1 species